rnacentral:rRNA from 1 species
GGAUCUGUAAGUCAGUGGUGAAAUCUCAUAGCUUAACUAUGAAACUGCCAUUGAUACUGCAGGUCUUGAGUAAAGUAGAAGUGGCUGGAAUAAGUAGUGUAGCGGUGAAAUGCAUAGAUAUUACUUAGAACACCAAUUGCGAAGGCAGGUCACUAUGUUUUAACUGACGCUGAUGGACGAAAGCGUGGGGAGCGAACAGGAUUAGAUACCCUGGUAGUCCACGCCGUAAACGAUGCUAACUCGUUUUUGGGUCUUCGGAUUCAGAGACUAAGCGAAAGUGAUAAGUUAGCCACCUGGGGAGUACGUUCGCAAGAAUGAAACUCAAAGGAAUUGACGGGGGCCCGCACAAGCGGUGGAUUAUGUGGUUUAAUUCGAUGAUACGCGAGGAACCUUACCAAGGCUUAAAUGGGAAUUGACAGGUUUAGAAAUAGACUUUUCUUCGGACAAUUUUCAAGGUGCUGCAUGGUUGUCGUCAGCUCGUGCCGUGAGGUGUUAGGUUAAGUCCUGCAACGAGCGCAACCCCUGUCACUAGUUGCCAUCAUUCAGUUGGGGACUCUAGUGAGACUGCCUACGCAAGUAGAGAGGAAGGUGGGGAUGACGUCAAAUCAUCACGGCCCUUACGCCUUGGGCCACACACGUAAUACAAUGGCCGGUACAGAGGGCAGCUACCUAGCGAUAGGAUGCGAAUCUCGAAAGCCGGUCUCAGUUCGGAUUGGAGUCUGCAACUCGACUCUAUGAAGCUGGAAUCGCUAGUAAUCGCAUAUCAGCCA